rnacentral:tRNA from 1 species
AGCUCAUGUAGCUCAGAUGGUAGAGCACACCCUUGGUAAGGGUGAGGUCACCGGUUCAAUUCCGGUCAUGAGCUCCAC